GAACGCGAAGAACCUUACCAAGUCUUGACAUCCUUUGACCACUCUAGAGAUAGAGCAUUCCCUUCGGGGACAAAGUGACAGGUGGUGCAUGGUUGUCGUCAGCUCGUGUCGUGAGAUGUUGGGUUAAGUCCCGCAACGAGCGCAACCCUUAUUACUAGUUGCCAGCAUUGAGUUGGGCACUCUAGUGAGACUGCCGGUGACAAACCGGAGGAAGGUGGGGAUGACGUCAAAUCAUCAUGCCCCUUAUGACUUGGGCUACACACGUGCUACAAUGGAUGGUACAACGAGCAGCGAACUCGCGAGGGUAAGCGAAUCUCUUAAAGCCAUUCUCAGUUCGGAUUGUAGGCUGCAACUCGCCUACAUGAAGCCGGAAUCGCUAGUAAUCGCGGAUCAGCACGCCGCGGUGAAUACGUUCCCGGGUCUUGUACACACC
rnacentral:rRNA from 1 species